CUUCGGCGGCCUAUACAUGCAAGUCGAGCGGACAGAUGGGAGCUUGCUCCCUGAUGUUAGCGGCGGACGGGUGAGUAACACGUGGGUAACCUGCCUGUAAGACUGGGAUAACUCCGGGAAACCGGGGCUAAUACCGGAUGCUUGAUUGAACCGCAUGGUUCAAUUAUAAAAGGUGGCUUUUAGCUACCACUUACAGAUGGACCCGCGGCGCAUUAGCUAGUUGGUGAGGUAACGGCUCACCAAGGCAACGAUGCGUAGCCGACCUGAGAGGGUGAUCGGCCACACUGGGACUGAGACACGGCCCAGACUCCUACGGGAGGCAGCAGUAGGGAAUCUUCCGCAAUGGACGAAAGUCUGACGGAGCAACGCCGCGUGAGUGAUGAAGGUUUUCGGAUCGUAAAACUCUGUUGUUAGGGAAGAACAAGUACCGUUCGAAUAGGGCGGUACCUUGACGGUACCUAACCAGAAAGCCACGGCUAACUACGUGCCAGCAGCCGCGGUAAUACGUAGGUGGCAAGCGUUGUCCGGAAUUAUUGGGCGUAAAGCGCGCUUAGUCGGUUUCUUAAGUCUGAUGUGAAAGCCCCCGGCUCAACCGGGGAGGGUCAUUGGAAACUGGGGAACUUGAGUGCAGAAGAGGAGAGUGGAAUUCCACGUGUAGCGGUGAAAUGCGUAGAGAUGUGGAGGAACACCAGUGGCGAAGGCGACUCUCUGGUCUGUAACUGACGCUGAGGCGCGAAAGCGUGGGGAGCGAACAGGAUUAGAUACCCUGGUAGUCCACGCCGUAAACGAUGAGUGCUAAGUGUUAGAGGGUUUCCGCCCUUUAGUGCUGCAGCAAACGCAUUAAGCACUCCGCCUGGAGAGUACGGUCGCAAGACUGAAACUCAAAGGAAUUGACGGGGGCCCGCACAAGCGGUGGAGCAUGUGGUUUAAUUCGAAGCAACGCGAAGAACCUUACCAGGUCUUGACAUCCUCUGACAACCCUAGAGAUAGGGCUUUCCCCUUUCGGGGGCAGAGUGACAGGUGGUGCAUGCUGUCGUCAGCUCGUGUCGUGAGAUGUGGUUAAGUCCGCACGAAGCGCACCUGAUCUAGUGCCAGCAUUCAGUUGGCACUCUAGGUGACUGCCGAUGAACAAACCGGAGAAGGAUGAG
rnacentral:rRNA from 1 species